ACGAGUUGAAUUGCCUCCCGACGUGGCAUACGGUCUGCUCUUUCGCCAACAAGCAUCGUGUCUUUGAUUCUUCUGAACUACCCUUCAGCAUUCGUUUGAACUGCGGUUGUCUCCUGAACGGACAACUGCAAAAGCUUUGACUGAACAUAUGUGCACAUGGACGGGUAGGUCUGAACAACCGCUGAAGAUCCAUAGAUAGAGACAAGAUCAAAGAACUCAUGACCAUCUUUCUAAAUCUCUCUCUCUCUCUCUCUCUCUGUGCGGACUCCAUUGCUAACAUCUCUUUCUGGGCCUGAGCUCUCCAAUCCAGCCAUGGCUAGUGACGUCGUUCGUCGGUGAGCCCGCCGCCUCCGUGGCCACCAUCCUGUACUACAGCACCCUGCUGCCGCAGAGCGUCGUCCUGGAGAGGCUGGUCCGGCACGAGCUGCUCAACCACGAGAACUACUUGUUCCAUUUUCUCAUCAAUUUCUUGAGGUGCUUCUGGUGAUGCAGAGUUUUCGGUUUCGCUUUGUUCUUUCUUUUCGGUUGAUGUCCCUUGAAAGAUUCAUUUUCCAUGUUAUAGAGAUGGAUAGUCCUCGUUCACUUAAUUAGCGAAUGUAUCGGCGAUCGUCAUUAACGAUGAACGUUUUGAUCAAUACCUCGAAAUCAAAUACAGAGUUAUAUCUCGCAAACUCGAGUUUUAUCUUCA